rnacentral:tRNA from 1 species
GGUUGAGUAGCAUAAUGGCUAAUGUGUGUGAUUGCAAAUCACUUAAUGACGGUUCAAUUCCGUCCUCAGCCU